AUGCAGUGCACUUGUGCUCGAGUACAGCAGUACACUGGCACACUUAUACCCAAUGCAGAGUGCAGAUAGGCAGAGAAGGAAGGAAAAAUUGAAAAGUGGAAAGAAGGAUAUAAAUUUUAAUUUUUUACUUGUUUUU
rnacentral:ribozyme from 1 species